UUAAUUAUGAUGGUUAUAACGGCCAGCCAAAGGAAGCACCGGUGGCUUAUAUCGCAUUUGUUAUUCGGAAUAUUGAAACCUUCAACUAUUUUCUUUCUCUUGGGGACCAAGCUAACCUUGAUAUUGUGGACCUAACAGAUUCAUUGAAGCCGAUGAAUCUCCUUCCUUACAUGCAGUCAUACAAUCAAGCCGAUAUAAAACUACUGCGUAUCAUUAAGCUAACCUUGAUAUUGUGGACCUAACAGAUUCAUUGAAGCCGAUGAAUCUCCUUCCUUACAUGCAGUCAUACAAUCAAGCCGAUAUAAAACUACUGCGUAUCAUUUGUCGUCGUACAAACCAGACAAUAGUAACAUGAUCACAUGGAAGGAAGGACCUGGGACAUGGUGAGUAGAUAUAGAGAAAUAUAGGACAUGUGUAUAUAUAUUUUAGUCAAAGUCUCACCAAGGAUAGAAACUAAUGAUUUUAAAAUUUUUAAUUGGUUUUGAGAGUUUUAAACUAAUCUUUGUGUUUCUCCUUUUGUUUCUUUUGUAUCUUAUACAAUUGUAUUCACCAUGUGAUUGAGUGAAUGUUGAUAAAAUGAGGGAGAGUCCUUUCACUAUUAUUGUUGGUUUUAAGAAACAGUGGGAAAGAUGCAAUAUUUUCUAUUUUGCUGAAAGCUGCAAACCAAGCCCAAUCUUUUUGUCUUGGUGUAUAGGGAACUUUGACAACACUUUUGCUACUGAUAAAGACCUGUCUUGGAAUCUUGAAAUGCAAUGUUCCCAAGAAAAGAAACAAGAAGAUAAAGACAAAAGUGGUGUUAGAGAGUUGGAAUCUUCCAAAAGACAAUCCUGAACCUGGAGAAUCAUCAACAACCACUCAAUUAUUUCCUAGCAGAACAACUGGUCAACAACACUAGUCACUCUCUCUAAAUGUAUUUAUUUUUAUCUUUCUAUUUAAAAAUAAAAUGCAUCGAUAAGAUUUGUAUUUAAUUUUCAUUGAUUUAGAGUACGCGAUUUAGAGUAGGUAUAUUGAUUUGGGGGAAUUCUUCCAGCCAUCCAUCCCCAAAUUAAACCAGACAUUCCCUCAAAGCAUAUGAAAAACUACUUUAUCAUUACAAAAUCACUUCAACCAUUUUCAGAA
rnacentral:lncRNA from 1 species